rnacentral:rRNA from 1 species
GGUAACAGGAAACAGCUUGCUGUUUCGCUGACGAGUGGCGGACGGGUGAGUAAUGUCUGGGAAACUGCCUGAUGGAGGGGGAUAACUACUGGAAACGGUAGCUAAUACCGCAUAACGUCGCAAGACCAAAGAGGGGGACCUUCGGGCCUCUUGCCAUCGGAUGUGCCCAGAUGGGAUUAGCUAGUAGGUGGGGUAACGGCUCACCUAGGCGACGAUCCCUAGCUGGUCUGAGAGGAUGACCAGCCACACUGGAACUGAGACACGGUCCAGACUCCUACGGGAGGCAGCAGUGGGGAAUAUUGCACAAUGGGCGCAAGCCUGAUGCAGCCAUGCCGCGUGUAUGAAGAAGGCCUUAGGGUUGUAAAGUACUUUCAGCGGGGAGGAAGGGAGUAAAGUUAAUACCUUUGCUCAUUGACGUUACCCGCAGAAGAAGCACCGGCUAACUCCGUGCCAGCAGCCGCGGUAAUACGGAGGGUGCAAGCGUUAAUCGGAAUUACUGGGCGUAAAGCGCACGCAGGCGGUUUGUUAAGUCAGAUGUGAAAUCCCCGGGCUCAACCUGGGAACUGCAUCUGAUACUGGCAAGCUUGAGUCUCGUAGAGGGGGGUAGAAUUCCAGGUGUAGCGGUGAAAUGCGUAGAGAUCUGGAGGAAUACCGGUGGCGAAGGCGGCCCCCUGGACGAAGACUGACGCUCAGGUGCGAAAGCGUGGGGAGC